rnacentral:misc_RNA from 1 species
AAGUCGUAACAAGGUUUCCGUAGGUGAACCUGCGGAAGGAUCAUUACCAAAGUCUAAGGGUCUCUUAAGGCCCGGUGUUAUGUUGCACUUUUUUCUUUUUUUUUCUUUUCCCUUUUGCUUACCUAGGCGUGUGCGUCUGCCUUAACUGUUGCGGUUCGCCGCCUUUGGUAAGCGAAAUAAAGAAAUUAAAUCAAAAAAAAGAAGGUAAUGUUGUAUUUGAUCGGAUCUAACAAAUCCAUAUCCACCUUGUGUGCAAUGUCAGCCGUUUUCUUUAUGAAAGCGGCCAAACAUCAACUUAUUUUUUAACUGUCUGUCUGAAAACUAUUAUGAAUAAACAAUUCAAAAUACAACUUUCAACAACGGAUCUCUUGGCUCUC